UUUCACACUAGGUGAAGCUUUUUUGGAUGAAGCUUUUGAAAAUUUGUAGUUGUCCUCCAUUGAUGAAACUUUUGUUGGUGAAGCUUUUGUGGUGAAGCUUUGGACCAGAGUGUUUCAUUGCUAGGAAUGUAAGAGGAUUAUGACCGAGUUGUCUAAAUCACCUCUUUAUUGAAUUCAUGCCAAAUAGUCUUCGUUACAUAGGAUGUCGAACGACUGAAGCUUAACACUUGUAUAAUGUGAGUUUACUUGUAAUAGUACUUCAAGUGAUCAGCGUUCCAUGGAUGGCCAAUGGUCUUGCCAUCAGAGCUUCUAAGCUUGUAGAAGCCAAGGCGACUGAUAGCAACAACUUCAAACGGUCCAUCCCAGUUUGGACUAAGUGUUCAUUCACUCAGGACUCUGUCGCAAAGUAAUCUUUUCUUCAAUACCCGUCCCCCACUUUGCAAGAAUGAGGUUUGACCCUUGAGUCAUAGUAGUUGGAAAUGCGCUGCUUGUAGGUGACAUUCCUCAAGUGAGCCUAGUUUUUGUGUUCCUCGACUAGAUCUAAGUUGAGGGUAAGUUGUUUGUCAUUUUCGCUUUGCAUGUAGUUCUAGACACGGAACGUUUCUUGUUCAAGCUCAACUGGGACAACUACCUCUGUACCAAAGGCAAGUAAGAAAGGGGUUUCUCCUGUUGAUGUCCGAUACGAAGUGUGGUAUGACCAAAGAACUUAGGG
rnacentral:lncRNA from 1 species